GCUCCCUCCCUCCCUGGUUACCUCUACCAGGAGGCUGAAGGUAGAAGACAGAGUAGAGGGUCAUGUCUCAGGGCUCCCUCCCUCCCUGGUUACCUCUACCAGGAGGCUGAAGGUAGGAGACAGAGUAGAGGGUCAUGUCUCAGGGCUCCCUCCCUCCCUGGUUACCUCUACCAGGAGGCUGAAGGUAGGAGACAGAGUAGAGGGUCAUGCUUCAGGGCUCCCUCCCUCCCUGGUUACCUCUACCAGGAGGCUGAAGGUAGGAGACAGAGUAGAGGGUCAUGUCUCAGGGCUCCCUCCCUUCCUGGUUACCUCUACCAGGAGGCUGAAGGUAGGAGACAGAGUAGAGGGUCAUUCUUCAGGGCUCCCUCCCUCCCUGGUUACCUCUACCAGGAGGCUGAAGGUAGGAGACAGAGUAGAGGGUCAUGUCUCAGGGCUCCCUCCCUCCCUGGUUACCUCUACCAGGAGGCUGAAGGUAGGACACAGGAAGACAGAGUAGAGGGUCAUGUCGUAGGGGUCCCUCCCUCCCUGGUUACCUCUACCAGGAGGCUGAAGGUAGGAGACAGGAAGACAGAGUAGAGGGUCAUGUCUCAGGGCUCCCUCCCUCCCUGGUUACCUCUACCAGGAGGCUGAAGGUAGGACACAGGAAGACCGAGUAGAGGGUCAUGUCUCAGGGUCCCCCUCUCACUCACACCAAGGUGUUAUAGUAUGUCAACACAACAAAGCAUACAGUCAGUGGGGUGUUCCAGAAAGCAGGAUUAUUAAAGUAGGCAGCUUACUUGGAUAAACAGCCACAUACAACUACUAGUUGGUUAAUUAAAAGCUUAAUUUGUGUAUUGGUUGCUGUUAUAGAGUCAAUAAUACCACGCCAACUUCAAGUCAAUAUUUCUUAAAAGAUGGAGUUACUUCCAGAGAUUCUGGAAAGUUAGCUGGUUAACCAAGUUCCUCAAGGUUCCGUUUUAGGACCACUAUUGUUUUCACUAUAUAUUCUACCUCAUGGGGAUGUCAUUCGAAAACAUAAUGUUAACUUUCACUGCUAUGUGGAUGACAGACAGCUCGCUGGAGGCCUGUGUUUCAGACAUAAGGAAGUGGAUGGCUGAAAACGUUCUACUUUUAAACUCGGACAAAGCAGAUGCUUGUUCUAGGUCCCAAGAAACAAAGAGAUCUUCUGUUGAAUCUGACAAAUAAUCUUGAUGGUUGUACAGUCUCAAAUAAAACUGUGAAGGACCUCAGCGUUACUCUGGACCCUGAUCUCUCUUUUGAGGAACAUAUCAAGACUGUUUCAAGGACAGCGUUUUUCCAUCUACGUAAUAUUGCAAAAAUCCAUGCUUUGGUUACUUCUAGGUUAGACUACUGCAAUGCUGUACUUUCCAUCUACCUGGAUAAAGCACUAAAUAAACUUUGAUCAUAUUACUCCAGUGCUAGCCUCCCUACACUGGCUUCCUGUCAAGGCAAGAGGUGAUUUCAAGGUUUUACUGCUAACCUACAAAGCAUUACAUGGGCUUGCUCCUACCUAUCUCUCUGACUUGGUCCUGCCGUAAAUACCUACACGUAUGCUACGGUCACAAGACGCAGGCCUCCUAAUUGUCCCUAGAAUUUCUAAGCAAACAGCUGAAGGCAGGGCUUUCUCCUAUAGAGCUCCAUUUUUAUGGAAUGGUCUGCCUACCCAUGUGAGAGACGCAGACUCGGUCUCAACUUUUAAAUCUUUAUUGAAGACUCAUCUCUUCAGUAGGUCCAAUGAUUGAGUGUAGUCUGGCCCAGGAGUGUGAAGGUGAACGAAAGGCACUGGAGCAACGAACCGCCCUUGCGGUCUCUGCCUGGCCGGUUCCCCUCUUUCCACUGGGAUUCUCUGCCUCUAAUCCUAUUACAGGGGCUGAGUCACUGGCUUACUGGUGCUCUUCCAUGCCUUCCCUAGGAGGGGUGCGUCACUUGAGUGGGUUGAGUCACUGAUGUGAUCUUCUUACCCCCCCUCCCCUAAGUUGUGCUGUGGCGGAGAUCUUUGUGCGAUAUACUCAGCCUUGUCUCAGGAUGGUAAGUUGGUGGUUGAAGAUAUCCCUCUAGUGGUGUGGGGGCUGUGCUUUGGCAAAGUGGGUGGGGUUAUAUCCUGCUUGUUUGGCCCUGUCUGGGGGUAUCAUCGGAUGGGGCCACAGAGUCUCCUGACCCCUCCUGUCUCAGCCUCCAGUAUUUAUGCUGCAGUAGUUUAUGUGUUGGGGGGCUAGGGUCAGUCUGUUAUAACUGGAAUACUUCUCCUGUCUUAUCCAGUGUCCUGUGCAAACUUAAGUAUGCUCUGUCUAAUUAUUUAUUUAUUUCUCCCAGGGAGGGACGAGAGACAAGGUUACCUCAGGGUGGGACAAGGUUACCCUAAGGAGGGACAAGGUUACCUCAGGGUGGGACAAGGUUACCCCAAGGAGGGACAAGGAUACCCAAUGAGGGACAAGGCUACCCCAGGGUGGGACAAGGUUAACCCAAGGAGGAACAAGGCUACCCCAGGGUGGUACAAGGUUAACCCAAGGAGGGACAAGGCUACCCCAGGGUGGGACAAGGUUAACCCAAGGAGGGACAAGGCUACCCCAGGGUGGGACAAGGUUACCCCAGGGUGGGACAAGGUUAACCCAAGGAGGAACAAGGCUACCCCAGGGUGGUACAAGGUUAACCCAAGGAGGGACAAGGCUACCCCAGGGUGGGACAAGGUUAACCCAAGGACCGGGACAAGGCUACCCCAGGGUGGGACAAGGUUACCCCAAGGAGGGACAAGGCUACCCCAGGGUGGGACAAGGUUAACCCAAGGAGGGACAAGGCUACCCCAGGGUGGGACAAGGUUACCCCAGGGUGGUACAAGGUUACCCCAAGGAGGGACAAGGCUACCCCAGGGUGGGACAAGGUUAACCCAAGGAGGAACAAGGCUACCCCAGGGUGGGACAAGGUUAACCCAAGGAGGGACAAGGCUACCCCA